rnacentral:rRNA from 1 species
CCUACGGGUGGCAACAGUGAGGAAUAUUGGUCAAUGGACGAGAGUCUGAACGAGCCAAGUAGCGUGAAGGAUGACAGCUCUAUGGGUUGUAAACUUCUUUUAUAUGGGAAUAAAAUGUUCCACGUGUGGGAUUUUGUAUGUACCAUAUGAAUAAGGAUCGGCUAACUCCGUGCCAGCAGCCGCGGUAAUACGGAGGAUCCGUGCGUUAUCCGGAUUUAUUGGGUUUAAGGGGAGCGUAGGUGGAUUGUUAAGUCAGUUGUGAAAGGUUGCGGCUCAACCGUAAAAUUGCAGUUGAAACUGGCAGUCUUGAGUACAGUAGAGGUGGGCGGAAUUCGUGGUGUAGCGGUGAAAUGCUUAGAUAUCGCGAAGAACUCCGGUGGCGAAGGCAGUUCACUGGACUGCAACUGACACUGAGGCACGAAAGUGUGGGUAUCAAACAGGAUUAGAUACCCGUGUAGUC